GUUGUGGAGCAACGGCUUCGCGUGAAGUGGGUCAGGGGAGGAAUCCAGCAGCCCUAAGCGAUGCUAGUCGUGUGCUCUUUUUUGUA
rnacentral:SRP_RNA from 1 species